rnacentral:rRNA from 1 species
CCUACGGGAGGCAGCAGUGGGGAAUCUUCCGCAAUGGGCGAAAGCCUGACGGAGCAACGCCGCGUGAUCGAAUGAAGGCCUUCGGGUUGUAAAGAUCUGUUGACAGGGACGAAUAAGCAAUGCGAAUAGUUUUGUGUAUGACGGUACCUGUCUAGAAAGCUCCGGCUAACUACGUGCCAGCCGCCGCGGUAAUACGUAGGGAGCAAGCGUUGUCUGGAAUUACUGGGCGUUAAGGGCACGUAGGUGGGCUGUUAAGUCAGGUGUGAAAAUCCCGGGCUCAACCUGGGGACUGCACUUGAUACUGGGUGUCUUGAGGGCAGGAGAGGAAAGUGGAAUUCCGAGUGUAGCGGUGAAAUGCGUAGAUAUUAGGAGGAACACCAGUGGCGAAGGCGACUUUCUGGACUGAACCUGACGCUGAGGCGCGAAAGCGUGGGUAGCGAACGGGAUUAGAUACCCGUGUAGUC